rnacentral:rRNA from 1 species
GAUGAACGCUAGCAGAACGCCUAACACAUGCAAGUCGAACGAACCAGCAAUGGUUAGUGGCAAACGGGCGAGUAACGCGUAUCUAACCUACCCUUGAGUGAGGCACAACUACAGAGAUGUAGCUAAUUCCUCAUACGUUCUAGAGAAUGAAAAUAUCUAGAAGAAAGAUUUAUCGCUCAGGGAGGGGGGUGCGUCCUAUCAGGUAGUUGGUGAGGUAAUAGCUCACCAAGCCUAUGACGGGUAGCCGGUCUGAGAGGAUGUCCGGCCGCAAUGGAACUGAGAACGGUCCAUACUCCUACGGGAGGCAGCAGUGGGGAAUAUUGGACAAUGGGCGAAAGCCUGAUCCAGCGAUUCUGCGUGAAGGAUGAAGCCUUAUGGGGCGUAAACUUCUUUUCUGGGGGAAGACGAAUGACGGUGCCUCAGGAAUAAGAGACGGCUAACUACGUGCCAGCAGCCGCGGUAAUACGUAGGUCUCAAGCGUUAUCCGGAAUUACUGGGCGUAAAGCGUCUGUAGCCGGAUAUAUAAGUCUGUCUUUAAAUAUCCCGAUUCAAUCGGGAAAAAGGGAUAGAUACUGUAUAUCUAGAGGAUUUUAGGGGUUAGUGGAAUUUCCGGUGGAGCGGUGAAAUGUGUUGAUAUCGGAAGGAAUGCCGAAAGCGAAAGCAGCUAACUAUAAAAUAUCUGACGGUCAGAGACGAAAGCUUGGGGAGCGAACGGGAUUAGAUACCCCGGUAGUCCAAGCCGUAAAUGAUGCUUGCUAGGUGUUUGAUUCGCGUAAGCGGAUUGAGUGCUGUACCUAACGGAUUAAGCAAGCCGCCUGGGAAGUAUACUCGCAAGAGUGAAACUCAAAGG